rnacentral:lncRNA from 10 species
GGAAAGGAUACAGAUUAAAAUCAGCCAAGAGAAGAGACACAUGGGCAGAGUCCAGGAGCAUAGCAAAUGGAGAACUUUCAGUUGUCCUUUCGCUGUGUGAUUAUACAGACACACUGUGUAUUGCCAACCAGGUACCCAGAGAAAUACAGAUGUUCCUAUGAGACAUGAUAUUCCAAGGGACUGCAGAUUGCCUUCCAAAAGUCAAGGGCAAAGUCCAGACCACUUUUUGGACAAGACAUCAAAAUGGGCCUCUGAGAAAACUCAAAUGGACUCUCCGAUUCCCAUCUGCUCAAAGAGUUAAUUUUUCUAAAAAGAUAAAAGAUUAUGGUGAUCAUUCUG